rnacentral:lncRNA from 1 species
CGCCAUCAGAGCCCAAGUCACCGUCGUCACCUCCAAUGGUAGAGAAAACUUCUCCACCACCGGCAACGGUUAGCUCACCACCACCUACGCCUAAGUCGUCACCUCCACCUGCUCCUGUGAGCUCACCACCUCCAGUGGUGAAGUCUUCUCCACCACCGGCACCAGUCAGCUCACCACCACCGACACCUAAGCCAUUACCUCCACCUGCUCCUGUGAGCUCACCACCUCCGGUGGUGAAGUCUUCUCCACCGCCGACACCAGUCAGCUCACCACCACCGACACCUAAGCCAUUGCCUCCACCUGCUCCUGUGAGCUCACCACCUCCAGUGGUGAAAUCUUCUCCACCACCGGCACCAGUCAGCUUACCACCACCGACGCCUAAGCCAUCUCCACCACCUACUCCUGUGAGCUCACCACCUCCAGUAGUAAAGUCUUCUCCACCACCAACACUAGUCAGCUCACCACCACCAGCACCUAAGUCAUUACCUCCACCUACUCCCGUGAGCUCGCCGCCUCCAGAAGUGAAGUCCUCUCCUCCACCAACCCCAGUUAGCUCACCACCACCAGCGCCGAAGUCGUCACCUCCACCUACUCCAGUGAGCUCGCCACCUCCAGAACUGAAGUCCUCUCCACCACCAGCCCCAGUUAGCUCACCACCAUCAGCGCCAAAGUCGUCACCUCCACCUGCUCCUGUAAGCUUGCCACCUCCUGAAGUAAAGUCUUCCCCACCACCAGCACCGAUUAGCUCUCCACCACCUCCGGCCAAGUCACCACCUCCACCGGCCCCUAUGAGCUCACUUCCUCCCCCUGUGAAGUCUCCACCUCCACCAGCGCCGGUCAGUUCGCCACCACCUCCAAUGAAGUCCCCACCGCCGCCAGCACCAAUUAGCUCUCCGCCACCAGCAC